UACGUAGGGGGCAAGCGUUGUUCGGAAUUACUGGGCGUAAAGGGCGCGUAGGCGGCACGGCAAGUCAGGAGUGAAAGGCCUGGGCUCAACCGAGGAACUGCUUUUGAGACUGCCGAGCUAGAGUGCAGAAGGGGCAACUGGAAUUCCCAGUGUAGCGGUGAAAUGCGUAGAUAUUGGGAAGAACACCGGUGGCGAAGGCGGCGACCUGGUCCGUGACUGACGCUGAGGCGCGAAAGCGUGGGGAGCAAACAGG
rnacentral:rRNA from 1 species